rnacentral:rRNA from 1 species
GUUGUAAACCUCUUUUAGCAGGGAAGAAGCGAAAGUGACGGUACCUGCAGAAAAAGCGCCGGCUAACUACGUGCCAGCAGCCGCGGUAAUACGUAGGGCGCAAGCGUUAUCCGGAAUUAUUGGGCGUAAAGAGCUCGUAGGCGGUUUGUCGCGUCUGCUGUGAAAUCCCGAGGCUCAACCUCGGGUCUGCAGUGGGUACGGGCAGACUAGAGUGCGGUAGGGGAGAUUGGAAUUCCUGGUGUAGCGGUGGAAUGCGCAGAUAUCAGGAGGAACACCGAUGGCGAAGGCAGAUCUCUGGGCCGUUACUGACGCUGAGGAGCGAAAGGGUGGGGAGCAAACAGGCUUAGAUACCCUGGUAGUCCACCCCGUAAACGUUGGGAACUAGUUGUGGGGUCCAUUCCACGGAUUCCGUGACGCAGCUAACGCAUUAAGUUCCCCGCCUGGGGAGUACGGCCGCAAGGCUAAAACUCAAAGGAAUUGACGGGGACCCGCACAAGCGGCGGAGCAUGCGGAUUAAUUCGAUGCAACGCGAAGAACCUUACCAAGGCUUGACAUAUACGAGAACGGGCCAGAAAUGGUCAACUCUUUGGA